CCGAAUUGUCAACACGAGUUGUUGCUGGUCCUCAAACGGGGGCAUGUGCACGCUCUGUUUACACAUCCACUCACACCUGUGCACCCUCUGUAGCUCUGUGGUUUGGAGGGGCUCUGUCCCUCCUGCUGUGGUUCUACGUCUUUACACACACUCUGUAUAAAAGUUUCAUGGAAUGUACGCAGCGUUUAACGCAAUACAAUA
rnacentral:misc_RNA from 1 species